GAUGAACGCUGGCGGCGUGCCUAAUACAUGCGAGUCGAGCGAACGGACGAGAAGCUUGCUUCUCUGAUGUUAGCGGCGGACGGGUGAGUAACACGUGGAUAACCUACCUAUAAGACUGGGAUAGCUUCGGGAAACCGGAGCUAAUACCGGAUGAUAUUUUGAACCGCAUGGUUCAAAAGUGAAAGACGGUCUUGCUGUCACUUAUAGAUGGAUCCGCGCUGCAUUAGCUAGUUGGUAAGGUAACGGCUUACCAAGGCAACGAUGCAUAGCCGACCUGAGAGGGUGAUCGGCCACACUGGAACUGAGACACGGUCCAGACUCCUACGGGAGGCAGCAGUAGGGAAUCUUCCGCAAUGGGCGAAAGCCUGACGGAGCAACGCCGCGUGAGUGAUGAAGGUCUUCGGAUCGUAAAACUCUGUUAUUAGGGAAGAACAUAUGUGUAAGUAACUGUGCACAUCUUGACGGUACCUAAUCAGAAAGCCACGGCUAACUACGUG
rnacentral:rRNA from 1 species